rnacentral:rRNA from 1 species
CCUACGGGGUGCAGCAGUGAGGAAUAUUGGUCAAUGGGCGAGAGCCUGAACCAGCCAAGUCGCGUGAAGGAUGACGGCCCUACGGGUUGUAAACUUCUUUUGUCAGGGAGCAAUUUGGUCCACGCGUGGGCUUAGCGAGAGUACCUGAAGAAAAAGUAUCGGCUAACUCCGUGCCAGCAGCCGCGGUAGUACGGGGGAUGCGAGCGUUAUCAGGAUUUAUGGGGGUUAAAGGGUGCGUAGGCGGAAUAUCAAGUCAGCGGUAAAGAUUCGGGGCUCAACCCCGUCGUGCCGUUGAAACUGAUGUUCUUGAGUGGGCGAGAAGUAUGCGGAAUGCGUGGUGUAGCAGUGAAAUGCAUAGAUAUCACGCAGAACUCCGAUUGCGAAGGCAGCAUACCGGCGCCCAACUGACGCUGAAGCACGAAAGCGUGGGUAUCGAACAGGAUUAGAUACCCUUGUAGUC